CGAAACAACGCUUCCGUCCACAACAGCGCCUUUGUCAAGCUCUAGACAAAGGUCCUGUUGUGGACUGAAACGUUGUUUCA